ensembl:lncRNA
UGGAAAGACCACAGGCCGGUCACCACCAUCCCCCCCCCAACCACCACCCCCCCCUCUGCCGCCCCACUGGCGCCAGCUCUGACCCAAAUCCACCCAGCCCCAGAUCUUAUCUCUGCCCCAAAGACCAACGUGCCCCCAGGACCCACCCCCUCCAUGGGGACCAGUGGGGGUGGCCUUGGAGGGGGGGGGGUGGGGGGAACGGGGGGUGGAACCCACAUCCCAUUGGUUGGAGCCACCCCCUUGGCUGCUACAAAAACUCGGAACCUUCUGAGGAGGCUCAGCUCUACAGCUCCGGCAUGAGACCUCUCUGAGGAGUGGUGAAGAUGGUACUUCACGGCCUGGUUCUCCUCUGGAGUUGGUUCCUGCUGCGAUGUGGUGCAGACCCACAGCCCCACACCAGCAACAAGCUGUGCUCUGGGGUCCGCUGUGGACCUGGGAUGGUUUGUAGGGUUUUGGAUGAUGGACCCAAAUGUGUCACAGUGCCCUCGUGCAAGAACUACCCGUGCCCAAAAGCUGGAACAGAGUGCCAGAUGCUGCACGGGCGGCCCAGAUGCGUCCCAUUGCCUUCGUGCAAGAACACCCGUUGUGAAGCAGGAACGGAGUGCAGGAUGGUGAAUGGGUCACCCCAGUGCAUCCCUCUGCCUUCCUGUAAGAACACCCGUUGUGGUGCUGGAACGGAAUGUAAGAUGGUGGAUGGGUCACCCCAGUGCAUCCCACUGCCUACGUGCAAGAACACCCGUUGCGAUGAGGGAACAGAGUGCAGGAUGGUCCGUGGGUCACCCCAAUGCAUCCCAUUGCCUUCGUGCAAGAACACCCGUUGUGAAGCAGGCACAGAAUGCAAGAUGGUGCAUGGAUCACCACAGUGCAUCCCAUUGCCUUCAUGCAAGAACACCCGUUGUGAAGCAGGAACAGAGUGCAGGAUGGUGCAUGGAUCACCCCAAUGCAUCCCAUUGCCUUCGUGCAAGAACACCCGUUGUGAAGCAGGCACAGAAUGCAAGAUGGUGCAUGGAUCACCCCAAUGCAUCCCUUUGCCUUCCUGUAAGAACACCCAUUGUGAAGCAGGAACAGAAUGCAAGAUGGUGCAUGGAUCACCACAGUGCAUCCCAUUGCCUUCAUGCAAGAACACCCGUUGUGAAGCAGGCACAGAAUGCAAGAUGGUGCACGGAUCUCCCCAGUGCAUCCCACUGCCUUCAUGCAAGAACACCCGUUGUGAAGCAGGAACACAGUGCAGGAUGGUGCACGGAUCUCCCCAGUGCAUCCCACUGCCUUCAUGCAAGAACACCCGUUGUGAAGCAGGAACACAGUGCAAGAUGGUGCAUGGAUCUCCCCAGUGCAUCCCAUUACCUUCAUGCAAGAACACCCGUUGUGAAGCAGGCACAGAAUGCAAGAUGGUGCAUGGAUCUCCCCAAUGCAUCCCAUUGCCUUCGUGCAAGAACACGCGUUGUGAAGCAGGAACAGUGUGCAGGAUGGUGCUUGGAUCUCCCCAGUGCAUCCCGCUGCCAACCUGCAAGAACACGCGUUGUGAAGCAGGCACAGAAUGCAAGAUGGUGCAUGGAUCACCCAAAUGUGUUCCUCUUCCUUCCUGCAAAAACACCCGCUGCGAAUCUGGAAUGGAGUGUAAGAUGGUGGAGGGGGUGCCCAAAUGCGUCCCAUUGCCAUCCUGCAAGAACAUCCGUUGUGAUGAGAGCACAGAGUGCAAGAUGGUGGGCGGAUGGCCCAAGUGCAUCCCGUUGCCAACCUGCAAGAACACCCGUUGUGAAGCAGGAACACAGUGCAGGAUGGUGCAUGGAUCACCACAGUGCAUCCCAUUACCAUCAUGCAAGAACACCCGUUGUGAAGCAG